GGAAAGCCGUCUGUGCCUCGUCAAACGAGCCGUUCCCUGCACUUCAGUCGAAGGUAAAUCCUCUAGAAAUUCGCUGCCAUUUCUUACUCUUGACAAUGUCUAGCAUGUCCAGGCCCAGAGCAUACAGCUGAAGAGUUUGGUCUGCGCUAAACCCAAUCUCUUGCGAGAACCUGUUCCAGCCUUUUUAUCCUUCUUUCUCGAAAAGGUAGGCACUUACAUUAUGAUCCCCAGGCAAUAAUCGAGGACAAACGCAUUCCUGGCUUUUAUCUUGUAGUCGUCCAGCAUGAGGAUCGUGGCGAGACAUCUGUGAAUCAAGCACAGUGGAUCAGCACUGACAGUUUGCUGAUAGAAAUAGAGGUAACUUUUCUUCUUCUUUUUGUUCUUUUUGGUUUUAUCCUUUGUGAGACGCAGCGAUUGAGUACUUGCGUUGCAGCCUCUUCGACGCUGCUAGAUGCGAAGGCGAGCACCUGGUUGAGCUGGUCGAGCGAGAAUUCGCGCGAAAACGAUCCGACUUCCCGCGGCACUGCUGGAGUUUCUUCCGCGUUCUCCAUUGGCGUGGUAAAAGGCCUAACCGCUGCCACGGUGGCGUGAUCUUGGACGAACUUUAGCUUCC
rnacentral:lncRNA from 1 species